AUUGAACGCUGGCGGCAUGCUUUACACAUGCAAGUCGAACGGCAGCACGGGGGCAACCCUGGUGGCGAGUGGCGAACGGGUGAGUAAUGCAUCGGAACGUACCCGGGAGUGGGGGAUAACGUAGCGAAAGUUACGCUAAUACCGCAUAUUCUGUGAGCAGGAAAGUGGGGGCACGUAAGGCCUCACGCUUCUGGAGCGGCCGAUGUCGGAUUAGCUAGUGGGUGGGGUAAAGGCUUACCAAGGCGACGAUCCGUAGCGGGUCUGAGAGGAUGAUCCGCCACACUGGGACUGAGACACGGCCCAGACUCCUACGGGAGGCAGCAGUGGGGAAUUUUGGACAAUGGGCGCAAGCCUGAUCCAGCCAUGCCGCGUGAGUGAAGAAGGCCUUCGGGUUGUAAAGCUCUUUUGUUGGGGAAGAAAUGCUCUGGGUUAAUACCCUGGGGUGAUGACGGUACCCAAAGAAUAAGCACCGGCUAACUACGUGCCAGCCGCCGCCGUAA
rnacentral:rRNA from 1 species